GCCCGAUGGCGUAGCGGAUAGCACACCUGCCUUCUGCGUAGACGGUCGUGGGUUCGAUUCCCGCCGGACA